UACGUAGGGGGCAAGCGUUGUCCGGAAUUAUUGGGCGUAAAGAGCGUGUAGGCGGUCCGGUAAGUCAGAUGUGAAAGUCAAGGGCUCAACCCUUGAAAGCCGGUUGAUACUGUCGGGCUAGAGUCCGGAAGAGGCGAGUGGAAUUCCCGGUGUAGCGGUGAAAUGCGCAGAUAUCGGGAGGAACACCAAUGGCGAAGGCAGCUCGCUGGGACGGUACUGACGCUGAGACGCGAAAGCGUGGGGAGCAAACAGG
rnacentral:rRNA from 1 species